rnacentral:rRNA from 1 species
UACGAAGGGGGCUAGCGUUGUUCGGAAUUACUGGGCGUAAAGCGCGCGCAGGCGGCUAUCCAAGUCAGUGGUGAAAGCCCGGAGCUCAACUCCGGAACUGCCAUUGAAACUGUUUAGCUUGAGGACGAGAGAGGUGAGUGGAAUUCCUAGUGUAGAGGUGAAAUUCGUAGAUAUUAGGAAGAACACCAGUGGCGAAGGCGGCUCACUGGUCCGGUACUGACGCUGAGGUGCGAAAGCGUGGGGAGCAAACAGG